GUCCGUUUGAAAAUACUCUAACCGGUCUAACCUGCCCACUGAUUUCUAUUUAAAGGCCGCGGUAUUAUAACCGUGCAAAGGUAGCAUAAUAAUUAGUCUUUUAAUUGAAGACUGGAAUGAAAGGUUGAACAAAAAGUAACCUGUCCUAAAUUUUCUUAUUUAACUUAACUUCUAAGUGAAAAGGCUUAGAUUUUCUUAAAAGACGACAAGACCCUAUAAAACUUUUCUAUAUAAACAUAAUUUCAUCCUAUAUUUAUAAAUUAAUAUAAGCUUAAUUUUAAUAUAUUUAGUUGGGGCGACAAAAGUAGAACCUAAUAAUUCUAUCUGCUUUUUAAUUUUCUACAUUUAUUUUUGUUUAUACGAUGACCCUUUUUUAAGACCAAAAGAAAAAGUUACUUUAGGGAUAACAGCGUAAUUUUUUUUUAGAGUUCCCAUCGACAAAAAAGUUUGCGACCUCGAUGUUGAAUUAGAGUCCUUCUUAUAAUGCAGCAAUUAUAAAGCUAGGUCUGUUCGACCUUUAAAACUCUACAUGAUUUGAGUUCAAACCGGCGCGAG
rnacentral:rRNA from 1 species